UCUCCGUUGGUGAACCAGCGGAGGGAUCAUUACCGCGCUUUUCUACUCCCAAACCCCUGUGGUCUUAAAACUUUACUGUUGCUUCGGCGGGGUAACGCCCCGAAAGGCCCAUAAAGCCGCCCGCACCAGGCGCCAGCCGGGGUACCCACACCCUUGUAUUUCUUACUUUACCUGUCUGUGUGAAAUCCUAAACUAAGUCAUCAAAACUUUCAACAACGGAUCUCAUGCUUCUGGACUCGAUGAUGAACGCAGCCGAUCUGAAGAACACAACUCUGAACA
rnacentral:misc_RNA from 1 species